rnacentral:rRNA from 1 species
GAUGAACGCUGGCGGCGUGCCUAAUACAUGCAAGUCGAGCGAACGGACGAGAAGCUUGCUUUUCUGAUGUUAGCGGCGGACGGGUGAGUAACACGUGGAUAACCUACCUAUAAGACUGGGAUAACUUCGGGAAACCGGAGCUAAUACCGGAUAAUAUUUUGCACCGCAGGGUUCAAAAGUGAAAGACGGUCUUGCGGUCACGAAUAGAUGGAUCCGCGCUGCAUGAGCUAGUUGGUAAGGUAACGGCUUACCAAGGCAACGAUGCAUAGCCGACCUGAGAGAGUGGUCGGCCACACUGGAGCUGAGACACGGUCCAGACUACUACGGGAGGCAGCAGUAGGGAAUCGUACGCAAUGGGCGAAAGCCUGACGGAGCAACGCCGCGUGAGUGAUGACGGUCUUCGGAUCGUAAAACUCUGUUAUUAGGGAAGAACAUAUGUGUAAGUAACUGUGCACAUCUUGACGGUACCUAAUCAGAAAGCCACGGCUAACUACGUG